rnacentral:rRNA from 1 species
ACGCUCGACACCUACGGGAGUCAGCAGUGGGGAAUAUUGCACAAUGGGGGAAACCCUGAUGCAGCAACGCCGCGUGAAGGAAGACGGUUUUCGGAUUGUAAACUUCUGUUCUUAGUGAAGAUAGUGACGGUAGCUAAGGAGCAAGCCACGGCUAACUACGUGCCAGCAGCCGCGGUAAUCUGAGCGGGCUGGCAAGGC